GGUUUUUUAGCUGUGAGAUUGGUUUUUUUGGUUUAUUUGCCUUUUGCAUCAUGCUUGGCGGAGUUUUGUAAAGUAUUUUUUUAUACCGAAAGGUUCUGAUCUUGAGUUUAAUUGUUUGGCAUUGUUUUAAACUUGGGUAAAGUUUUUUAAAUUAAAUUUAUGGAGUGAUAAGUAAGUCGUAGAUCUUUAUAACUGUUUAGUUGUUGGUUAUUUAUAGUAAUGUAUGUGGCUAGAAGGUCAUUUAUGUUUUUAUACAUUUAGUAUUUUGUGUUGUUUAAUAAGGUUAGGGGUACCUAGUUUUUGUUAUAUUGUUAUAAAUAUGGUUUUGUUUAUUUUGGUGAUUUGUUAAUUGUUUAAACAACUUUUUGUGAUAUUUGGCUAUUAUAUUAUCGUUGAAUGAGUAAUUUUAUUAUGCUAUUUAUUUCUCGAGUUCUUUCCGUCUGUUUAUUAAAAACAUUUCUAACUUGAAUUAUAGUUGGUAGUGCCUGCCCGAUGUUAGUUAAUUAAUGGCCGCAGUAUAUUGACUGUGCAAAGGUAGCGUAAUUAAUUGCCUUUUAAUUGGGGGCUUGUUUGAAUGGUUUGACGUGAUUGGUAUGAAUAUUUGGUAUUUUACUGAAAUUGAUUUUAAGGGUUUAGAAUCCUUUAUUUUUAGUAAGACGGAAAGACCCUAGGAUCUUUUGUUUUUGUUUGGGGCAAUUUUUGGUGUUUUAUGAAUAUUAUGACCCUGAAAUGUGAUAGGUUUAUUGGGUUAAGUUACCCUAGGGAUAACAGUGUGAUGAUUAAUAAGAGGUCUUAUCGAAUUAAUUGUUUGCCACCUCGAUGUUGACUUAGGCUAAGGUUUUGGUGUAGUAGUUGAGAUUAUAGGUCUGUUCGACCCUUUUAGCCUCCAUGAGUUGAGUUAAGACCGGCGUGAGCCAGGUCGGUUCUUAUCUAUUGUAGAAGUUUAUCAGUACGAAAGGACAGUGAAUUUUUUUAUU
rnacentral:rRNA from 1 species